rnacentral:rRNA from 1 species
AUUGAACGCUGGCGGCAUGCCUUACACAUGCAAGUCGAACGGUAACGGGCCUUCGGGUGCCGACGAGUGGCGAACGGGUGAGUAAUGCAUCGGAACGUACCUUUCAGUGGGGGAUAACGUAGCGAAAGUUACGCUAAUACCGCAUAUUCUGUGAGCAGGAAAGCAGGGGAUCGCAAGACCUUGCGCUGAUUGAGCGGCCGUUGUCAGAUUAGCUAGUUGGGGAGGUAAAGGCUCACCAAGGCGACGAUCUGUAGCGGGUCUGAGAGGAUGAUCGGCCACACUGGAACUGAGACACUGUCCAGACUCCUACGGGAGGCAGGAGUGGGGAAUUGUGGACAAUGGGGGAAACCCUGCUCCAGCCAUGCCGCGUGAGUGAAGAAGGCCUUCGGGUUGUAAAGCUCUUUCGGCCGGGAAGAAAUCGUAUGGGCUAAUACCCUGUGCGGAUGACGGUACCGGCAUAAGAAGCACCGGCUAACUACGUGCCAGCCGCCGCAGUAACAC